ACAGAGAGGUUACAGACAACCAAGAUGCUCAUGUUUCCCCCUGUUCCUUUAUUGUGCCACUGUUUCUUUCAACGUUUCCUGUGGAAGAUAGUUGGAAAUUGGUACAUUAAAUUACCAAUAGAAAAAAAUCCUCUUAGACAUUGUACAUAGCCAGCUCUUAUAAUAUCCUAAUUCCUGAGACAUAUUAUUGUGAGCAUCCAUUGAAGGCUUUAAAACCUUUCUUUUUAAACACAUUGAAAAAGCAGUUAAUUUAAUUCAGUAUAUAUCUCUAAUUUGUGGUGUAAUUUUCAUAGUUCCUUGCCUGACGUUGGAGUGAUAAUGAUUUUUUCAUUAUUUUCAUUAAGAUUCGUGACAUGUUCACCCAACUCGAUAUGGACCAGCUCUUGGGACCCGAGUGGGAUCUUUACCUCAUGACCAUCAUUGCAUUGCUAUUGGGAACAGUUAUAGCUUACAGGCAGAGGCAGCACCAAGACAUGCCUGUGCCCAGGGCUCCAGGGCCACGACCAGCUGCACCCCAGCAGGAGGGGCCACAAGAGCAGCAGCAACCACAGUAACAGCCGCCACAUCCAGCCUUGACCAGUGAAAACUAAGGAACUUGUUUGCUGAGAACACUUACAUUUGAUAUAGAACUUGGGAUCAGUGGCCACUUCCUGGAAGAGGCACAAGGAAGCAUUGAAUUCCUAAAGCUGCUUAGAAUCCGAUGCCUUUAUUUUCAGGGAUAAGUAACUUAACUAAGUUGAAUGUUUGUUUCAGUGCCAUAUGGAAUAACAACUCAGUGGCUUUUCACUUUUAUUUUCUUUUUUUCUGAAACAUAUGAGACACUCAGUAAUUUCUGCUGCAUUCAGCUGUUUAUGUCUAAUCCUUUAGGUCAUUCUUUCAAUAUGCAUAAGUUCUUAUAUCAAACAUCUUUGUCUUGUGCAUUGACACUAAAAACUGAUCAGUGUAAAAAGGAAAACUCAUAUAUUUAAAAGUCUGAAAGUAAACUUACCUUUUAAGUAAGUUAAGAAAAAAAUGUCUUCAAAGUAUUUUGGAACUACAAUAACUGAAAAAUUUUUACCACACCACAUGCAAGUAUACAUAUGCCUCAUAUUUUUUAUUUUAAAAGGGAAGGUUGGGAAGUUUCGUAUAGGUGAUUGUCAUAAUUCAUACCAUGCUGUUGUCCUUCAAAAACUGAAAGGCUUUGUUAAAGAGUUCUAUGUGAACAUCAACUCUUUGUAAUAGAAUAUAUGUAAAACUCUGUGAACUGACUUAUUGCACUAACGUGAAUUUUCCCCACCUACUCAGUGUAAUUUGCUUGCUUGUUUUGAGUGUACAGAGCCUUGACCCAGAAGCCAGAGGUUGGACUAGCUGGGAGAAAUUGGAAAGCAACAUUAAAGAAAUUUGGAUCAGUACCAAGAUCAUAGACAUACUUUCCCCAAAGUUGAAGUAUUUGUUCCCAGGUUUUAUUUUAAAAUACUUUACAUUUUUUACCGCUCAAAGAAGAUAUCAAUAUCUUGAAUUCUUCAAAUAUGAAAUAGCAUUGUCAGGAUAUGGCAUACAGUAACUGCCCUACACUCAGAGAACUGAAGAUGGAUUAAGCACAGUGACUGACAAAGCCAAGGCCUGUAUGGACUACUGUGUAUGUUCAGGUGGCUUUUAUUUCUUACAGUUUUAUGUUACGGUAAAAAGUUAACCAUUUGCUUAGCUGUCAUAUUUACCACCCUCUUACUGUUAAUGUUAGGAAAUUCAAGGCUACUACACUUCAUGGUUACCUAGUUAAAUAGAUGGGGAAAAACAAAAAUAACAAAAAAGAAAAUUGAGAACUUCGUGUAAUCUCUCAUGAAAGAAUUAAACCAAAUUUGAAUUUUGUUUUAUGGGUAAAUGGUGGCAUUUGCCAUCCGUUAUCUAUUCUGAGCCUACAUUAGUAAGUGAACAGUCCACUGAUGUCAAUCUUUAUAUAUUAACCUUUGGACUGUUUUCCUAUAAUCCCCCAUCUGCCAGAAAACUUGAAGAGUUUGUUUCUUGUUGAGUUAUAAUGCUUUGGUUUUUGAAGUUGGGAUUGUAUUUAGAAUUAGAUUUGAUUAGUCUAUAAUGAACAUGAAGGAUUUAAAUGUGAAGUUGUAUACUUUUUUGUGUGCUUAGAAUAUUAAGGGAAACCUGGUAAGCAAGCUUUCCUCCCAGAUAUUUGCUUCCAAAUUUGAAGAGGUGGUCACAGAGAGGACCAUACAUAUAAAAGCAUAUCUGUAAGAGGUACAGAAUGUUGCUCUCAAAAGUGUAAUGUUGCUUUGGGCUGCUCUUAUAAAUAUAGGGACCCACUUAGUCUCUUGCCCUUAGAAAUUCGAGUGCAGAUGGUACACUUUGUCAAGGUCUUCAUUGCUCCCUCUGCCCCCACCCUUCAGAAUAAGUGUAAUCUAUGUAGCAGCCACACACACUUCUUUAGGAGGCACUGUUUUAAUUUAGAAGCUGAAGAAGCUGGGCAUGAAGGUACAUGCCUGUAGUCCCAGCUACUCUGAAGGCUGAAGCAACAGCCUGGGCAACAUAGUAAGACCCCCGCUCAAAAGAAAAGAGUUGUUGAAAAACCCUGUAAGAUAACUUACCAACUUCCAGUUUUUUCUUACGCUAUCCGUCUAAUUUUUUCUUGGAUUGCAUUUUUUUAAAUCUGUCUUUACUUCCCUCCAUUAGUACUUGGAGAAAACAUUUCUUAAACAGCAUGCGCUUGGGCUGGAUGGGAAAGUGAAGUCUUAUUCUUCAUGUAAUAAUAGACUUCCUGUUAGUUUACUCCUUGCUGUGUCCUUUUUUAUUAUUAAUACUGCAAAUAUCCUUUCCUUAGUUUGCUUCUUUCUCUUGUUUUACCCUGGGCCACUUGGUUUCAGAAAUUUGAAUGUAAAAUAACUCAGUUCUUAUGGCUUCUUUUAAAGACUGUCUCAAAAUACUUUGCUUCCUUUUUCUUUUUGUUCAUGGGACAUGGUACCUAAGCAAAUAGGGGUUGGGUUUGGUUUUCUCCUAAAAAUAAUGCACAAUACUUAUGUAAUCAAAUGGCAUCCAUUUGAAUAAAGUGACAAUAACUAAAGCUAGUUAAUGUCAGUGACAUUAAACUAACUCCAGGAUUCAGGAGUUUUAAUGUUAGAAUUUAGACUUACCAGAUAGAGUGUGGCUUCAUUUCUCCACGGUAGCCCACCUCUCCUGAUACCUUUUGUAGUCUGUCUUUCAGCCUUCGAAGGUGAUGACAUUAGCGCUCUAUUUAGCGUCGCUUCUCUUGUGCAUAUGCUUUGUUCGUUAGCCAAUGGUUUCAAAGUCCAUUCUAUUUUAUUUUGCAAAGGUGGCACUGGUGGUGGGGGGGGGGGGUCCAAAUUUUUCCUUUUUGUGUUUGAAGUUUUUUCUGUUUUCUGGGUGAGGCUUACUUUAGUUUUCAUUAAUAGUCAAUGGCACAGAAAAAGUAAAUCAGAAUUCAUUAUUUAGUAUUUAAAUCAGAUUAACUUUAUGAAUCAUUAAUCUUGAUGUUCUUGAGGAUUUGUUACCCUUUUGCAUAUAAGGUUAAUUUCUGGGACUUUUACCACUAAACUGUUUUGUCUCUGUACCAUUGGGAAGCUUUAGAAACUUCCACCAGUAAUCUGGUGAUGAUCUGAUAGUUGAUUUAUUUAAGGAGCCUCCAGGAAACCUGAUUAUUUUAUAUAUAGAAUUUCAUUCAUUUUUGCCUCUUUUCUCUGCUCUUCAUGUUUGUUCUUCAAACCAUCGUUUUGGAAGUAUGCAUGCUGGCCUGUAGAUGAAAACCACAAUUCUUCAUGUGUAUAGCAUGUGUACUAAUGUCUAACUACAUCUGCAAAAACUUCCUCUACAGAGGUUUGGACUAACAUUUCACAUACACAUUUCAAAGACAAGAUGCUUCAGGUAAAUCACCCAUUUACCUACCAAGAAGACCAGGGCUAUUUUUGCUCCAGUGACAGCUGGUAUUUGUUUUGAAAGUGAACUAGUAUAUAUUACACAAUAUUUGGAACAGAAGUAUGCAAAAAAUAAUCAGAGCAAAAGAAAACUUCUAUUUUUAUGCAAACUUUUUCAUCAGUCAUUGCUCAAAUAUGAGUGAAAAUAUGCAAUUAGUGAAUGCCAUAUUUUCUGAGGCACUACCUGGUUUUUAAAUGUGUAGUAUUCAUUGAAAAGAAGCUAAAUUUAUCCAUCCACUUGGUCUUUUAAGAAAAUUUAAAAUGACCCCAAAUAACAAUAUUUGUAUCUUAAGAUGACUGUUUGCACAAGUAAAAAGUCUGAUUUUGUACACAAGAAGGAUCCCUUGGUUAUGUGCAGUGAGCCAUCUCACAUGUACUGUUUUUACGAAUUUGGAUUGACAUACAAGAUAACACUAUUUCUCUUUCAUUUAAAAAAAAAAAAAUGUUGAUAGGAUCCAAGUAACCACUAUAAAUAUUUAGAAGAGGAAGUUUAAAAAGACCAUGCUGGCAUUGUGAAGGAAUACCAUGGUAGACUUUUUUGUGUGUGUGAAUUUAUUUUGUAUUUAAUGAAAUGCAGUAUAAAAACUGGUGACGUGUAAUAUAAUUGUGUAAACAGAAACCCUGUUAAUAGAGAGAUGUACAGAUUCGUUUUAUACUGUAUCUUGAAACUUGUGAAAUAAAGAUUCCACCUCUGGUUUUCCUGUAUCCUGUAGUGUACCGCCACAAAGCACCUUUCCAGCCACUCCUCUUUUAACCUGAAUGAUCCAACUUUUUAAGGAAAGUUUUUAGAAAUUUAGAAACUUCUGUAAAACAUUUGGCGGGGGGGGGGGGUGCAUUUUUAAUCCGU
rnacentral:lncRNA from 1 species